rnacentral:rRNA from 1 species
AUUGAACGCUGGCGGCAGGCCUAACACAUGCAAGUCGAGCGAGCGGCGGACGGGUGAGUAAUGUAUGGGGACUGCCCGAUAGAGGGGGCUAACUACUGGAAACGGUGGCUAAUACCGCAUACUAUCGGAUAACCCAUAUGGGAUUAGCUAGUAGGUGGGGUAAAGGCGCACCUAGGCGACGAUCUCGAGCUGUGCUGAGAGGAUGAUCAGCCCAACUGGGACUUAGACACGGCCCAGACUCCUACGGAGGCAGCAGUGGGGAAUAUUGCACAAUGGGCGAAAGCCUGAUGCAGCCAUGCCGCGUGGAUGAAGAAGGCCUUAGGGUUGUAAAGCACUUUCAGCGGGGAGGCGUUACCUGCAGAAGAAGCACCGGCUAACUCCGUGCCAGCAGCCGCGGUAAUUC